GAAGCCGGAGUGAGAGCCGAGCGGGCCGCGUCACCGCGAACGUCAGUACCCAGCCCUUACCCUCGCCCCCCGCUCCCCACCCAGGGUCUUAAAGACAGCAGUUUGCCCUAAGGGGUCGCUCAUCACUCCCUAAGCGGGCUCCUAACACGACCGUGGAGGUCGACCCUGGAAGCUCGUGAGUUGUGGCUUUGGAAUCGCAAAGAAAACGGAGUGGCAGCGCGCGAGUGAUUUUUUUUUUUUCAGGCCUUUGCUCCUCCUACAGACGUCCUAGGCGUGUUGCGUGGGAGAGAGACGUAUUGUCCUUUUUCUUUUUUUUUAAACUGUGGGAAAAUGUGCUAGCAGACAUGAUUCGGGAUGGGGCCUCCCUACAUUGCCCAGACUGGCCUAGAACUCCAAGGCACAAGCAAUCCUACCACCUUAGGCUCCUGAGUGACUGAGACUACAGGACCAGAACCGCGGCACAGCCUCUGAAAUCAAACUGCUUAGAUUCAAAUCCAGGCUCUACCACAUACUAUCUGAACUCUUUCCAUCAAGUUAUUUCACUCCUCUGGGUCUCAGUUUCCUCAUCUAUAAUAGUCAUAUACCUCAGAAGAUGAUCAUGAAGAAUAAAAGAAUUAACAUUUGCAAAGGCUUAAAACAGGAAGCGACCCCCCUCAGUCUGACAAGGAGUAAAACUGCCAUGGAUAGAUGCUGAAAGUAAACAACAAGAUGGGAGGGGCAUCAGUGAGGUGGCUCUGGUUCCCAUGUCACCAUGUCUUGUGGAGAGAUGCAGCAGACCCCCAUGGAGACCACAUGCACAGGAGUUGCACCACAGCUAAGGAGCCAAGGCCAAGGGCUGCAUAUCUUCAUUCGCAUCUGAGCGAAACAAGGCUGUUUUGGUACACACUGGGAAGGAGCAGGGUGUGAUGCAUGGCAGACAGUUCUGCGUUGUGAGGGUGUCAGGAGUGGCUGAAUAGUCCUGCUGGUGUGAGGGUAUUCAGAAUGAGGAUGGGGAUGCAGCAGGGUCUUCUUACCAACUGCAGCUGCUGCCUGACUCAAGGGACAGGGUGUCUUAUGCUGCUGCAGGGCUGGAUCUAGGGGGAAAAGAAAGCAUUAAAUACUCCCCUUCUCCAACUCCCACACCUCUUAGGGACUAAAGUAGUCCUUCCUUCCUCAGAUGCCCAGGUUCUUGUUCUUUCCAUAGCCACAUAGUCCAUUUGUUUUACGUCACUGGCCACUAUUUCUCCUCCCUUCACAAGGGCCUCUGCCACCUGCACCCACAUGGGUGAUGACUAACUGAGCACUGUGUUAGAACUUGAACAACCCAGGAGGCAGGGUUUCCUUUUCUUUCCUUUUUUUUUUUUUUUUUUUUUUAUGGUACUGGGGAUUGAACUCAGGGGCACUCAACCACUGAGCCACAUCCCCAGCCCUAUUUUGUAUUUUAUUUAGAGACAGGGUCUCACUGAGUUGCUUAGGGCCUCGCUAAGUUGUUGAGGCUGGCUUUGAAUUUAUGAUCCUCCUGCCUCAGCCUCCCCAGCCACUGGGAUAACUGGCGUGCACCACUGCUCAGGAUGUCCUCUUAAUACUGCCCAAGCAGGACAUUGUAGGUGUAUACUAGGGCUCAUGAAUUUCACCACCUAAUAAUUCUCCUGUGGUCAGCAGCCUUCCACACCCAGAAACUGAAACCAAGUGGUAGCAGAAGCAAAAAACUGCAGUCAUCUUCCUAUGUUGCCUAAUUGCCACCUUAGGAUGAAGUCAGUCAGGCUUUCUAGGCACCAGGAGCAGCAGGAAAAAAAAAUCAGAAAUAACUGGAAAUAGUUACGGUGAGAUUGCAGACAUGGAGUGCCAGUCUCCCGCUCCUCCUCCCUCCAUCUGACCUUCCCUAAGCGGUGGGAAAUUUUAAUAAUUGAUCAGAAAAAGUAUUCCAUCAUGUGCAUAUUCUAGCACUGUCUACUACAGAUAGUCUCAGAUGUUUAUGAGAAAGAAAAAAUUUAAUAACUGUUUCAGUUUUAAUACAGAUAAGCUUAAGUAAUAGCCUUUGUUACUAUCCUUACAAGAUAAGAAGAAUGUCUUCUGAUUUUAAUCUAUAAAAUUAAUGCAAGCCCGUGUUCUAGUUGAGAUAUAACUAAAGUCAGACUUCUCAAGAUUUAAACUUCCUAAAUAUCCUAUAUUAGAUUUGUGGAUCAAAUAAGUUAUCAUUGUUUCCACUGAAUAUUGAAGAUCACAAACAUAAAAUGGUUUUUUACUAAAUGAAAUUUUAGUUACAGAUGUCAUUUCAAAGGAUUGGCGCUUAUAAAUUUCUUGUAAGUUUACAGAUCAUAAGGGUUUAAUGUGUUAGCUAAAACUGUAAUUUCCAGAUCUUUAGUUAACCUUUGCUAAGAUUUUAAAUAUUAGGCUGAAUUCAUUGACAAUCUUUGGAUAUUUGGAUAGUUUCUAAGUAAAAGAAUAUAUAAAGCUUUUGGUCACUAAACAUAGCUUCAAUUUACCCUUAUUUGCAUGUAUUAUAAAAUGGUACACAUUUACUGGUAUACAUUAAAAUGUUCCAGUGCUUUGGAUGAUGUCAUAUGCUCAUUUUGCCACCUUAAAAUUUAUAUAGAUAAUCUGAAAAUUGUGCUCAGAGAAAAUCAGCUAGAUGGUUCCUGGUUUUCUCUUGGUUUAGAGAAAACAGAAGUUAAUUAUUUAGAUUAAAAGAGAUAAAAAUAAUCAAGACUAUAUAUGAUAUUGUAAUUACAUAAAAUAUAAAUAUGUCUGGAAGAAAACAGAUAUGAUUUGUUACCUAAGGAUACUAUUUGUUAAAAUGCGUGUUUCAAUGUAACAUCAACAUUGUUUUGUUUAAUAUGCUAAGACUGAUUAUAUUUUUAAAUUAAAGUUAAAGCCUUUUAUUAUUUCUUUACAUAGCUAAGUAUUUCUGUCCAAGCACAUUAAAAUAAAAGAAUAUUAAGAAGUUGGGCUGGGGUCGUGGCUCAGUGGUAGAGCGCUCACCUUGCAUGUGUGAGGCCCUGGGUUUGAUCCUCAGCACCACAUAAAAGUAAAAUAGAAUAUUAAGAAGUGGUGUCACCAAAAAUUGCAGAGUAGGGUUCUCCCUCUACAAAAGCAACUGUCACGGUGAACUUUUGCAGAACUUCAGAAUCUACUCAAACCAACCAGGUGAAGACCAAAGCAUUGAGGUAAGACAGCACCUGCCCGAAAUCUCCCAUGCCGGUGGCAGCCAUGGGGACAACAGUCCACACUCCUGUUGCAGGGUGCUAAUUUCAGAAGGGACAACAUGAGCCAUCCUCUCAACCCAUCUGUGGUGAUGGGCUUAUACUUGUCCAUUGGUUCCUCAAAGGACAGCACAAGGCCUACCCGUGUUUCACUCAACACAGUGUUCCCAGGCCCACGGUAGCUUCCUGAACAGCUUUUGAAAGAGCAUUUAAAGGCACAAAUAUUGACUGUAGCAAUCUGGGAUAGGGAACAACAAUCAAAACAAAAAAAAUAGACCAAAAGACCUAGGUAGGAAAAGAUUGGGAAAGGGGAUAUAUAGGGGAAUAAGAACUUUUAAAGUUCCCAACUGUACCUGGUAGGAGGUAUAGCUUUCU